rnacentral:lncRNA from 1 species
UUUUUCUGAAAUAACCAACUGGAUUUUAUUCAUCAUUAAAACAUAAAAAAAAAUAUUACAAAAAUUCGAACCAAAAUAUAAAACAAGUCAAUUACAGGCCACUAAAACAAAAAAGAAAAACAAAAGCCUAAAUCAAAAUUAUCCAGUUAGAGAUCAUAGUUGGCACCCACUCGCGUGUAGUAUUUCAAUUAGUUAUUGGAAGUCAAGGCUCGGAUAUCAAAAAUUAUUGAUUUAUCAAGUACGUUAUGCCAAAAAUAGAGCCUUUUUCUCCUCUUUGGCCAUCAAAAAAGUACUGCCUUUUAGUUGUCAAACCAUUAAUUUCGACUACUUCCUCAAAUCCAAUACCAAUUAGCACCUUUGGUCUAAGUUUAAUUUCUGUUGUGCAGGAUCCAUUGUAUAGCAAGCACAGAGCACACAACUAAACUCACGAGAGAUUUUCUUUUAAUGAUUCACCAUUGUUGAUCAGAAAGAGAACAUGAAAUAUUUAGAAAGACAUUUUUUAAAAAAACACGCUGGUAUUUUAUUUAGAAAACUUCGAU